CCUGCUCUUUUGAUGAUCGCCCCACGUCUUGAACGUGUGGGAGGAACGUCCGGGCACCACGUAAAAUCGCUUCGCGAUCACGUGGCACAGCCACGGGAGAGUCAGCGAUUUUCGUGUCACGUGGCGAGCAAUCGCUUUACGUGACGCUGGAACGCCUAGUGGGUAACGCCCACCUGCGCAUCGAAUAUCCCCGCCCGUGCCGAAAGGUACGUUCGGGCGGGCAAAGGAUGCGUACGGACCAGUGCCACAGAGACGAUCAGUCCCGUCCCGCGCUUGCGGGACGGGAUGAAGUGAAACGUUCCCGCACCUGCGGGAUUGGCCUCGAGCGACUCGAGGCAUCACGGCAAACUCUAGGUGGUGCAAGGAGGAUUUGGGUCGGUGGAACUUCUCAUGGUUCCGUGAGUCCGCUGUCCCCUCCGCCUGAGGUUCGCAGCAAUGCGGAUCCCAGAGAGAUGAUCAUCUUCGGUUCUCUCUCGAUGUACAUGGAGAGCUAACUGGAACAGAACCCGGCGUACGAAAGAGCAGGAUGA
rnacentral:RNase_P_RNA from 1 species